GGGCGGUUAGCUCAGCUGGUUAGAGCGCUGCGUUGACAUCGCAGAGGUCAGAGGUUCGAGUCCUCUACUGCCCACCA
rnacentral:tRNA from 1 species